ACUCCUACGGGAGGCAGCAGUGGGGAAUAUUGCACAAUGGGCGCAAGCCUGAUGCAGCCAUGCCGCGUGUGUGAAGAAGGCCUUCGGGUUGUAAAUGCACUUCAGUUGUGAGGAAGGUGGUGUCGUUAAUAGCGGCAUCAUUUGACGUUAGCAACAGAAGAAGCACCGGCUAACUCCGUGCCAGCAGCCGCGGUAAUACGGAGGGUGCGAGCGUUAAUCGGAAUUACUNGGGCGUAAAGCGCAUGCAGGUGGUUUGUUAAGUCAGAUGUGAAAGCCCGGGGCUCAA
rnacentral:rRNA from 1 species